rfam:TPA: Bos taurus chromosome 6, whole genome shotgun sequence.
UCCCUGGUGACUUAGACGGUAAAGCGUCUGCCUGCAGUGCAGGAGACCCAGGUUCGAUCCCUGGGUUGGGAA